rnacentral:rRNA from 1 species
CUACGGGCUGCUCCAGUGGGGAAUAUUGCACAAUGGGCGCAAGCCUGAUGCAGCCAUGCCGCGUGUAUGAAGAAGGCCUUCGGGUUGUAAAGUACCUUCAGCGGGGAGGAAGGGAGUAAAGUUAAUACCUUUGCUCAUUGACGUUACCCGCAGAAGAAGCACCGGCUAACUCCGUGCCAGCAGCCGCGGUAAUACGGAGGGUGCAAGCGUUAAUCGGAAUUACUGGGCGUAAAGCGCACGCAGGCGGUUUGUUAAGUCAGAUGUGAAAUCCCCGGGCUCAACCUGGGAACUGCAUCUGAUACUGGCAAGCUUGAGGCUCGUAGAGGGGGGUAGAAUUCCAGGUGUAGCGGUGAAAUGCGUAGAGAUCUGGAGGAAUACCGGUGGCGAAGGCGGCCCCCUGGACGAAGACUGACGCUCAGGUGCGAAAGCGUGGGGAGCAAACAGGAUUAGAUACCCCCGUAGUC